rnacentral:rRNA from 1 species
GACCGUUUAAUCCUGGCUCAGGACAAACGCUGGCGGCGUGCUUAACACAUGCAAGUCGAGCGAUGAAAUCCCUUCGGGGAUGGAUUAGCGGCGGACGGGUGAGUAACACGUGGGCAACCUGCCUCAAAGUGGGGGAUAGCCUUCCGAAAGGGAGAUUAAUACCGCAUAACAUUAGUUUUUCACAUGAAUUACUAAUUAAAGGAGUAAUCCGCUUUGAGAUGGGCCCGCGGCGCAUUAGCUAGUUGGUGAGGUAACGGCUCACCAAGGCCACGAUGCGUAGCCGACCUGAGAGGGUGAUCGGCCACAUUGGAACUGAGACACGGUCCAGACUCCUACGGGAGGCAGCAGUGGGGAAUAUUGCACAAUGGGCGAAAGCCUGAUGCAGCAACGCCGCGUGAGUGAUGAAGGCCUUCGGGUUGUAAAGCUCUGUCUUUGGGGACGAUAAUGACGGUACCCAAGGAGGAAGCCACGGCUAACUACGUGCCAGCAGCCGCGGUAAUACGUAGGUGGCGAGCGUUGUCCGGAUUUACUGGGCGUAAAGGAUGCGUAGGCGGAUGUUUAAGUCAGAUGUGAAAAUCCCGAGCUUAACUUGGGAACUGCAUUUGAAACUGGAUAUC